UAAUGGUUCAGGGCGUUAUCGGAAGUGA
rnacentral:sRNA from 1 species